UACGUAGGGUGCGAGCGUUAAUCGGAAUUACUGGGCAUAAAGCGUGCGCAGGCGGUGAGCUGUGUCCGAUGUGAAAGCCCCGGGCUUAACCUGGGAAUGGCAUUGGAAACUGGCUCGCUGGAGUGUGGCAGAGGGGGGUGGAAUUCCGCGUGUAGCAGUGAAAUGCGUAGAUAUGUGGAGGAACACCGAUGGCGAAGGCAAUCCCCUGGACCUGUACUGACGCUCAUGCACGAAAGCGUGGGGAGCAAACAGG
rnacentral:rRNA from 1 species